GGGUAGGCAAAGCUUUUAAAUGCAGAGAUGCCUGGGAUAGGUGGCUGUGGAAAGUAGGAGGCGGGGAGGUGAAAGCUGGUGUGGGAGGGGGUUCUUGAAACUUAAGCUUCAUCAAAUAGUUUACUGACAGGGAAGUCAAGGCGGGAAGUAUUGGUUUGUGGUUAAGCACAUGGGGCGGGGUCUGCACUUGAGAUGGGCAAACAAGUUAAAGUACAGAAAAUAAACAUGGGUUUGAGGGCCUUGCUGUCUUAAAGUUGUGUCAAGCUCAAAGUUUGAUUAGUCCUGUCAGCACCUAAAAUUGUUUUGGGGAUUUCCCAAAGGGUCCCCGAAAAAUCUCUUUUGUAAAAAGAGAAAUGUUAGGAAUAAUGACGGUCGUUUGUUACGUUACUGAUGAUGAGUUACAUGGGAAAUAUUCUCAAAUCAGAAAAAAUGCCUAAACUUCUUUAGGUUAAAUUUGUAUGGGUAAGAUGUUAUUAACAUAAAUAUUUAAACAAUUGUAGUCUGUAUGGGAAGGUUCUAGACAAUGAUCAAUGUUUUUCUGUCCAUGAUAUGUUUCUGUUUAUCAGUCUUGGUAUUGCUUUGCCUAUAAGACAAAAACAGUAUUGUAUUAGCACUCAAAAUUUCAGUUACUUUUAAAAAAAACAUUAACUUGGCUGAAACUUUACUUUUUAACUUGUAUCUAGUGGAUUUCAGGUAAUAGUGUUCUAUUGGGGACUCACAUUUAUCUAUAGAUUUUAUUAAUCUACUACUGAUGUUUAGAACAUACUUUAUCUGUAUUGAAUCUAUUUACUUGGUAAUCCCAAUAUAUUCUUGGUAUAUUCUAACUUUGUGCUAGGUAUAUAUGGUAUCUAAUGUUUUAGGAUUUUUAUAUGUUAUGUUUUCUCUGUGAAGAUUAUAUUUAUCUAUUUUCAUAAAUUAGAUGUAAUCUCUACUCUUCUUUGAAAAUAGGCAUAAAUCUUUGUGCUUACACAUAUUUUGUCAAAAACUUUUUUGGAUUGACUUUGUUUUGUUUUGCAUGCUAAGAAACAAUCAGAUAUGCUUGUCAAUUGCAUUAUUCUUGUAACGAACUCUUUUCAGAUCAUUCUCUUUUGAAAAAUAUCAACAGUGAGUAAACAAUAGACAUUUCUAGUCUUUUGUCAUCUACAGAAAGCUUGCAUGUUUUGUUUUACUCCUGAUGCUUCCAUGAAAUCAUCUGGAAUCAGCUAUAAGGCAGAGUGUUCCAUCUUCAACAAAUAUUCUCAAGUCAGAUCCCUGCCUAAGAGCCUGGUGAAGAAGACUAUGCCAGGUACUCCUGGGUACAGACUUUUGAUGGCAUUGCUUCAAUAACUAUGUGAUCAUACCAGUGGACUGAGUCAAGAGUUCUAGACGUCUAGUAGAAGCAAAUGUGUUCUUGAGACUACUAACCCCAGAUCAAGUGGAGCAAGAAUGAAUUACAAAGCACCAAAUGAACUGAGUAAACUGGGUGGACACGGGCUUUGCUUGCAACAGUGCUGAUGCUUUAAUGCUCUGUUUUCUGGAUGUAAGGCACCACUCUCUCUUUUCUCUCAAGCUAUCUAUCACUCGUAACAAUUUAGUAGACUGUGCUCUUGUAAGGCAGAAAUGAAACAGUGAUCUUUUCUGCGCCGACUCACCCUGCAAAAUUUAAGGACCUCUUAGUGAGGAUUCCUGUUUUCGUGGCACUCUAGUUAUUUACAUGGAUUCAGUAAGAGUCUGUCCACCUUGUUAAUAGGACGGAAUUAGAAACACGGGUGAUGCAAUCAAGGCUGGCGUUGCAUACAGUGUCAUAGUUGAGAAGGAUGCUCGUUUCAUCAGCUGUGACCAGACACUUUUCAGGAGUUAAGGUGGACUUUCUGGGGCCAGUGCUUAUAAAGUCCCUCUUGGGAAAACUGGCCUGGUAACCGGCUUUAUAGGGUUCCCAGCCUUAGAGGUGAGCAAGGAAGGUACUUCCUGGCAGGCUCAGGAAUCUUAGGGUAUUUUGGGGACCUCAGGAAGAGAGGACUUCCCACUGAGUCACUAGGUACUGCAGGUGAAAACUGAUGGUGAAGUUUGGGCUCAGCUUCCUAUCCUCAAGGGCCUUUGAAAAGUCCAGUCUGAGGUUCUUUGUGAAAACAUCCAGCAAAGCAAAUAGAAGGCCUAUGUGGAGACUUGUCCUUCUUGCUGCAUGUAUGUGAACAACCAGGCCAUGUCUAGUGAGACCAGCCUUGCUUUGUGAUCAAGAAUCAUCUUUCUUUGAGCUUGUCUUGAUCCAGAGGGGAAAAGGGACUGUAAGAGCAUUUUGUGUUUCAGUGGGAAACUAAGCCUACUGUUCUGGAUUAUCAGAUUCUGACCCUAUUCAUUGUCUUGGAGCUCUUUUGCACCUCUGUAAAUCGCAGGUAACUGGUCGCUAUGCAAACUUUGUCUUGUCUGGUAACCAAGCUUUCUCAUUUCCUGUGGAAAAACCCAUUUGAUGUUUCCUUCUAAAUUGGACUGCGUUUUCUCACCUUACACAGCUUGUCAACCCUUACCAAAUUUUCAGUUCUUCUAGUUUCCUUCAAUAUUUGGCUACAAACUAAUCUUAGCCUGUAAACAAGCUUUCCAAUUUUUCUGCAUCCUUGACGUGGAGUUACUGAGAACUACAAAUUGAUUGCCAGCUUUUUAUUGGGAUUCUGAAGUUGCCUUGUAACUGGUUUUGCCUCCAAGAUCUGCAGAGUGAUUGCAAGCUGAAGCCUAAGAACUUUUUAUAAGACUAGAAGGACUUGUCAUCCCAAGCUGACCAUUCAUGGUCCAGUUCUUUCCCUGGAUAGGUCACUGUUUGGACUACCAAGCACGUCUGGUGAAAUUCGCCAUCCUUAUUGGAGUAGUAACCAAUGCUAUGGACAACACCACCAACACAAUUGACAUCUCAGCUUCAAAAAGCUCAAUGAAUGCUUUUUUGGAGUUUCCAUCAAGGUACAGUUUGCACUGACCAUCAUCAUGGCCUCCAGUUUUCAACUGGCACCCAGAACCUGCUGUGUCUCACUGCUUGCUACUUGUCAAGUCCACAACGAGUGGUAUUCAGAAUGGUUUGGCAGCUCUCUAGCUGAAUUCCUGGGACCAGACGAACGUUAGCACUCCUGCUCCUCCGCCAUAUUGGAACGCCCCUCCAAUAAAUGAACUGCAGAGGCAGCGGCGCAAUCUCCGAGCGGGUCCUGCCAGAGCCGAGAGGCUGUAGCCCCCGUCACCACCACCAACCCCGUCACUACCGCCACUGCAGUUGCCGUGGGCUGCGCCCUGUCUUUUAUUCUGGAAGGAGGAGAAAAGAUGGUGGAGGAGUAAGAGACCCUUUCUCAGCUGGUCCCA